GUCACUGUUUAAAAAUAAGGGGUCACCAAUUUAAAACAGAGCUAAGGUGAAAUUUUUUCACUCAGAUGCUCGUGAGUCUUUGGAACACUUCCUGAAAAAGCAGUGGAAACAGAAUCAUUGAAGGCAGAGGAUGUGGGUGCCACUGCGAAGGCCAGCAUUUGUUACCCAUCCUUAAUUGCCCUUGGCUUGCUAGACCAUUUGAGGACAGUUAGGAGGCAAUGUAGGACCAGGUUUGAGGCCUUCAUCCUGCCAGAGUUGGAAGGUGGAAUGUCCGGCCUAUAAGGUCACUGGCC